CAUACCUUCUAACGGGUUAGCCCGGCCCUUUUCAACGAAGUGUAUGGCGGCCAAUUUGAUUAGGGGAUCGAAAUCUUCCAUGGAGCGUAGAAGAAUUUGAAGCAGCAACGAUCCGCACGGUACUGAAGCUGCCCAAACAACCAAAUACCAUCGCCAGGAAAACAAAACACCGUUGCCCGUUCACCAUUACAGUUAUUGUCGCCGUCGGCUAGAUUACUCCAUGAUGGUACCUCCGUGAAACCAGUUGCCCUUCAGAUGACCUACUAUGCUGUCUCUGACGCGAGGUCUAAAUAUUUUAACUUCUACUAGUUUCUUUGGCCUUUCUGUUUUCUUUCAAAUUUUCAAAUCGGCGCACGUAGAUGAAUCUUAUAAUUGAAGCAGUGUCUCUCCACUCGGUGCGGGGACGGUCAAGACACUGAUAGGCUGACAGUCAAGGGAAUGGUCUGCUUUCGCCUAUGGCUACCUUGUUAGCAGAAACGUUUUUCUUUGUAUUCAAUUUCUAUGAUUCUACGAAUAGCUACGAUUCUCCCUUCUUUCCCCAAUCUAGUAUCUAGAGUUUAAUUCAUCUGGAGACGUUCUCCCGAUAUAGGAUGGUAGCUGCUUAGAACUCUUUGAUAAAGAUGAACCCGGGAGUAGUGUCGGUGGCUAUUUGGCUGUAGAAGCUCAUGCCAAGGCAGUAAAAGAACGGGUUGAACUGGUACAUGGUAAUCUUAAAUGGGCUGUGAAGGUGCCAGACUUGAAGUCCUUGUUUCUUCAUUACUCCGGAUUUUAAAGAAUGAGGUAUUGGUGUAUCAGGGUGCUCCUGUACAGUGGAAUCAACCCGUGGGAUAUUUCAUCUUGACCAAUCUUUAAGAGAAGCAUUAAUGAAGAAUACACUGAUAUUGUUAGGCAUAGGCAGAGGUGCUGCUUUAUCAUAUCAGGCGCUCUUGCAUGAUUCAGAGGACUUUUCAUCUGCGAAGCAGUGAAUACGAGAAUGUAAUUCAAGGUGUGGGUGGAAACAAAUGUUUCAGUGACAUGUGCCUUAGCAGCUUGUAAUAUGGCUUCAAAUGAAAUUCCGUCGGCAGCUUUGGGCAACUUGAGGCACAGCCAGCGCAAGGCUUGGUUUACUUGUAGGAGAUAUUGAUGGAGGGCAUUGACAAAAACAGAGGAAUGAUCUGUUAUGUUAUGUAGAAUCCCUGCUUCCUUCAAUGAGUAAGUCGCAAGCACAUUAGCAUAAUUGGUGAGAGGAGAUAUUGAUGAGGGCAUUGACAACCCUUCAAUGAGCAAGUUGCAAGCACUUUAGCACAUUGGUGUUUGUUCAAUGAUGUUAUUCUGGUAUUUCAUUUAAUUUCAUUAUUCA